rnacentral:rRNA from 1 species
UACGUAGGGUGCAAGCGUUAAUCGGAAUUACUGGGCGUAAGCGUGCGCAGGCGGUUUGUAAGUUUGUCGUGAAAGCCCCGGGCUCAACCUGGGAAUUGCGAUGAAGACUGCAAGGCUUGAAUCUGGCAGAGGGGGGUAGAAUUCCACGUGUAGCAGUGAAAUGCGUAGAGAUGUGGAGGAACACCGAUGGCGAAGGCAGCCCCCUGGGUCAAGAUUGACGCUCAUGCACGAAAGCGUGGGGAGCAAACAGG